rnacentral:rRNA from 1 species
ACGGAAGGCAGCAGUGGGGGAUAUUGCACAAUGGGGGAAACCCUGAUGCAGCGACGCCGCGUGAGCGAAGAAGUAUUUCGGUAUGUAAAGCUCUAUCAGCAGGGAAGAAAAUGACGGUACCUGACUAAGAAGCUCCGGCUAAAUACGUGCCAGCAGCCGCGGUAAUGCGUAUGGAGCAAGCGUUAUCCGGAUUUACUGGGUGUAAAGGGAGCGUAGACGGUUUGCCAAGUCUGAUGUGAAAGGUGGGGGCUCAACCCCCAAACUGCAUUGGAAACUGGUAGACUAGAGUGUCGGAGAGGUAAGUGGAAUUCCUAGUGUAGCGGUGAAAUGCGUAGAUAUUAGGAGGAACACCAGUGGCGAAGGCGGCUUACUGGACGAUAACUGACGUUGAGGCUCGAAAGCGUGGGGAGCAAACAGGAUUAGAUACCCUGGUA